rnacentral:SRP_RNA from 1 species
GGACGGGCCUCCUCGCAUUGUGGCUCGGGAACCUGGUCAGGUCCGGAAGGAAGCAGCCAUAACCGAAUCCCGCAAGUGCCGAGGGUUCGGCUCGUCCCCCU